rnacentral:rRNA from 1 species
GAUUUUCCCCUUGGGGUUUGAUUCCGCUUCCGGAGAAACGCGGCGGAGAUGCUUAACCCUUGCAAUUCGAACGGAGUUAAAGAGCUUGCUUUUUAGCUUAGUGCGGACGGGUGAGUAAGGCAUGAGCAGCCUGCCUGUCAGUGGGGGAUAACUCCCGGAAACGGACGCUAAUACCGCAUGCAGUACAUAAUCCGCAUGGAUAAGUGUAUGAAAGGAGCAAUCCGCUGACAGAUGGGCUCACGUCCGAUUAGUUAGUUGGUGGGGUAAUGGCCUACCAAGACCGCGAUCGGUAGCCGGGCUGAGAGGCUGAACGGCCACAUUGGGACUGAGACACGGCCCAGAUUCUUACGGGAGGCAGCAGUGGGGGAUAUUGCACAACGGGGGAAACCCUGAUGCAGCAACGCCGCGUGAGGGAUGAAGGUUUUCGGAUUGUAAACCUCUGUCCUUAGUGAAGAACAAAAUGACGGUAACUAAGGAGGAAGCUCCGGCUAACUACGUGCCAGCAGCCGCGGUAAUACGUAGGGAGCAAGCGUUGUCCGGAUUUAUUGGGUGUAAAGGGUGCGUAGGCGGCUAUGUAAGUCAGACGUGUAAUGCAGGGGCUUAACCCGUGAACUGCGUUUGAAACUGUGUAGCUUGAGUGGAGUAGAGGCAGAUGGAAUUUCCAGUGUAGCGGUGAAAUGCGUAGAUAUUGGAAGGAACACCAGUGGCGAAGGCGAUCUGCUGGGCUCUAGCUGACGCUGAUUCACGAAAGCGUGGGGAGCAAACAGGAUUAGAUACCCUGGUAGUCCACGCCGUAAACGAUGAGUAAUAGGUGUCGGGUAGAGAUAUUCGGUGCCGGAGCUAACGCA